GACGAACGCUGGCGGCGCGCUUAACACAUGCAAGUCGAACGGAAAGGCCUGCUUUCCCUUGUGGAUUGCGGGUACUCGAGUGGCGAACGGGUGAGUAACACGUGAGUGAUCUGCCCCCAACUUGGGUAUAAGCCUGGGAAACUGGGUCUAAUUCCCGAUAGGACUGCAGGGUGGUGCCUGUGGUGGAAAACGAUUUUCUAGUGGUUGGGGAUGGGCUCGCGGCCUAUCAGCUUGUUGGUGGGGUACUGGACUACCACGGCGGCGACGGGUAGCCGGCCGGAGAGGGUGGACGGCCGCAUUGGGACUGGGACACGGCCCAGACUCCUACGGGAGGCAGGAGUGGGGAGUAAUGGACGAUGGGCGGAAGCCUGAUGCAGCGACGCGGCGUGGGGGAUGACGGCCUUCGGGUUGUAAACUCCUUUCGACCGCGAGGAAGCCACCUGGUUGGAAGGGUGGUGACGGUAGUGGUAGAAGAAGCACCGGCUAACUACGUG
rnacentral:rRNA from 1 species